UUGAAUCUCCCUUUACUUUAAGAUAUUUGGCUCCCAAUUCUUGAGCCGCCAAUAAUCCUAGUAUGAACGCCUCAUAUUCUGUUUCAUUGUUUGUGCAAGGGAAAUCCAAUUUGUAUGACAAGGCCACUUCAUUUCGUUCUUUAGUGGUCAACACCACUCCUGCUCCGCCUUUACCUUCUGCAGAUGAUCCAUCAAAAGCCAAACUCCACAAUUCUGGGUCCUCAUUCCUCAACUCGAUUGAUUCUACUUCUUCACCCGGAAGAUCCUCAGAAGGGGGUUCAUAUUCUCCAUUUGGAAAUUGAGCCAGCAGGUCUGCCAAG
rnacentral:lncRNA from 1 species